rnacentral:rRNA from 1 species
GAUGAACGCUGGCGGCGUGCCUAAUACAUGCAAGUCGAGCGAACGGACGAGAAGCUUGCUUCUCUGAUGUUAGCGGCGGACGGGUGAGUAACACGUGGAUAACCUACCUAUAAGACUGGGAUAACUUCGGGAAACCGGAGCUAAUACCGGAUAAUAUUUUGAACCGCAUGGUUCAAAAGUGAAAGACGGUCUUGCUGUCACUUAUAGAUGGAUCCGCGCUGCAUUAGCUAGUUGGUAAGGUAACGGCUUACCAAGGCAACGAUGCAUAGCCGACCUGAGAGGGUGAUCGGCCACACUGGAACUGAGACACGGUCCAGACUCCUACGGGAGGCAGCAGUAGGGAAUCUUCCGAAAUGGGCGAAAGCCUGACGGAGCAACGCCGCGUGAGUGAUGAAGGUCUUCGGAUCGUAAAACGCUGUUAUUAGGGAAGAACAUAUGUGUAAGUAACUGUGCACAUCUUGACGGUACCUAAUCAGAAAGCCACGGCUAACUACGU